rnacentral:rRNA from 1 species
AACGAACGCUGGCGGCAGGCCUAACACAUGCAAGUCGAACGCUCCAGCAAUGGAGAGUGGCAGACGGGUGAGUAACGCGUGGGAACCUUCCCUAUGGUUCGGAAUAGCUCAGGGAAACUUGAGGUAAUACCGGAUAAGCCCUUCGGGGAAAGGAUUUAUCGCCAUUGGAUGGGCCCGCGUAGGAUUAGCUAGUUGGUGAGGUAACGGCUCACCAGGGCGACGAUCCUUAGCUGGCUGAGAGGAUGGUCAGCCACACUGGGACUGAGACACGGCCCAGACUCCUACGGGGAGGCAGCAGUGGGGAAUAUUGGACAAUGGGCGCAAGCCUGAUCCAGCCAUGCCGCGUGAGUGACGAAGGCCUUAGGGUUGUAAAGCUC